rnacentral:rRNA from 1 species
UAAUACGGAGGGUGCAAGCGUUGUCCGGAUUUACUGGGUUUAAAGGGUGCGUAGGCGGUUGAUUAAGUCAGUGGUGAAAUAUUCAUGCUUAACAUGAAGACUGCCAUUGAUACUGGUUAACUUGAGUGUGAUUGGGGUACUCGGAAUUUAUGGUGUAGCGGUGAAAUGCAUAGAUACCAUAAGGAACACCGAUAGCGUAGGCAGGGUACCAAGUCAUUACUGACGCUGAGGCACGAAAGCGCGGGUAUCAAACAGG